UACGAAGGGGGCUAGCGUUGCUCGGAAUCACUGGGCGUAAAGCGCACGUAGGCGGAUUUUUAAGUCAGGGGUGAAAUCCUGGAGCUCAACUCCAGAACUGCCUUUGAUACUGGGAAUCUCGAGUCCGGAAGAGGUGAGUGGAACUGCGAGUGUAGAGGUGAAAUUCGUAGAUAUUCGCAAGAACACCAGUGGCGAAGGCGGCUCACUGGACUGGUAUUGACGCUGAGGUGCGAAAGCGUGGGGAGCAAACAGG
rnacentral:rRNA from 1 species